UACGUAGGGUGCAAGCGUUGUCCGGAAUUAUUGGGCGUAAAGGACUCGUAGGCGGUUUGUCGCGUCGGGAGUGAAAACUCAGGGCUUAACCCUGAGCCUGCUUCCGAUACGGGCAGACUAGAGGUAUGCAGGGGAGAAUGGAAUUCCCGGUGUAGCGGUGAAAUGCGCAGAUAUCGGGAGGAACACCGGUGGCGAAGGCGGCAUCCUGGACCGACACUGACGCUGAGGAGCGAAAAGCCAGGGGGAGCAAACGGG
rnacentral:rRNA from 1 species